GUCUGACACCUGAAACAAGAAAGAAGCAAAAGGAUCUGCCUUUUAAAAGUUUACAUCUCUGGGAACUGCUUACUUCUGGAAGGCAGACAUCAGUCACAAAGAACAGCUAUUUUGGAGUUCUAGACCUUCAUCCUAAUACCUACAUUAAGAUUUCCACUUCUGCAUCACAGGAAUCCUAAACCCCUUCAGUGUCCUCCUAAAUGGGAGUCCUGAAGAAGCAGAAAAACACCCGAACCCAGAAUCCCAAGUUAUCUCUGCUAACUGCAAGGAAUGAUCCAAACUUGCAGGGUGAAGAACUGCAGAGAAAGAUAUGCAUGGAUAACAGACUUAGAACAACUCCAGAAGAAAAAUGCUGCUCACAGAGUGCUGGCAUACAUUCAGAAAUCAGCCUUCUGUUUUGGAUACAGCCACAUUUCCUGCCCAUACCCACUCUCUCAGCACUGAUGCCAGCCAAAGCUCAUCCUCUGCUGAAGGACCUUCAGCUCAGCCUUCCCCAAAUAUAUUGGAAAGACAAUGUAUUAACAAAACAAAACAAAAAAGAAGCAGAAAAGGAGAGAGACAAGAGCACAGAGGAGGCCCGGAGGGAAAGAAAAAUAUUCAAAUAAUGGAGUAAGGGUGAGGCUGGCAAACUUUGUGGCAGUGAAACAACAGAUGGACUGUAGUUUUAGUGAUUCAUCACACAGAUGGUUCAGCAGAUGGAUUCUGUUGGGUUCAUACAGCUUAGGUGGAAAUAUCAGCUGCUGAUCUUGACAGGCAGGGCAGCUUCAGCAGAGGCAGUAUCCUUGCUUUGCCUUCCCUUGUACAUGUCCUGUUUUCCCAGACUGGCAGUGCAGGGACAAUGCUGAGUGCCACAGCAUUGGCCAGCCUUUGUGCUCCUUACAUGCCACAUAGUUCAAGAUUUUCUCUGUCUGUUCUAGGAAGGAAAAAGUUUGCUGUGAGUGGAUGUACCACCUCAUUUCUGCCACCCAGUCAAGUGACAAAUGCUGUUCCUUGGGAAACAAAAACAUCUACAGAUUGUGAUGAUUUCUAUCUAUAAAAAUUCUGUCAGCCUGGAUAGCAUUUCUGACAGAGUAUAACUUCUCCAAGGGAUGAAACAUCUUCCCAGUUUUACUGUGGGGGGUCUAGAUUCCCAAAUAACCUAUGACCAUUAAUGCAAUAAAGAGGAAUUAAAGCACA
rnacentral:lncRNA from 1 species